CCAGGGUUUGAAGAAAGACACUGUAGCUUUUGGAUUCAGCAACGGAUCUUUCAAGAAAACAGUAUGGAGGGAUGACUCACUCCCCCCAUGGAGGCUGCCCUCUAGUUCGUCCUUUAGAGGAAGCAUGACCAAGGGUCUGCUAGUACUUUUCUCUCCCUCUCUAAGAAUUUCCUCAGGAGAGGAAAAAGUUAGCUUUCUUUUCUCUGCUCCCGAGUGCCACGGCCUGCAGUGCGUGACCAGUCCUCGGCACAGAGUCACUCAGGGCUCAUGGUAGAUUCUUAGCAGUCACAGCCAAUAGCUGCGCAGUGUGGCAGCAGCUGAGAUCCAUACUGCAGCCUGAAAGUUGUGUUUCAGCUUCUGAGGUUACAAGUGUAUCCAGUGUUUACAUCAGAGAUAAAGCCCCCUUUCCCCUCUCUCCUACGGGAGCCCUCAACAAGACAGAUACACGGGUUGGGUGGAGUGAGACCACAUGCAGCAGAGGCAAAGCUUGCUAAAAGAGAGAGAAGGAGGAGGGGGAGAGGGAGGAGGCGGCACGGCGUCCCUUGGCAGCUCCGUGCAUGCUGCGGCAGUUGCAACAGGAGAACCGAGUACCAGUUGCUCCACACUUUAUCACUUUGCAUUGCUCUUUCUCCUCCCUUAAGUGAAUUUCCAUUUUGAGGGUACAGCUCCACAGGAGAAAGGUGUGGUGGUGGUAGUGGUGGAGGGUGUCUGGGCGGGGGAUGGUGGUGCGACGGGAGUUGGAAUGUCCAGUGUGGGGAAGCAAAGGAGUGCCUACUAGGAUGCGAAUACCACUUGGCCCUGGGUUCGCUCCGCUUUAGCCUUCCCCUCUCGCUGGGGAGAAACAGGCGGUUUGUGAGGGAGACUGAGAGAGGGGCGUGUUUGUGGUGGUGGCGGCCCAUCGGGGGUCCUUGUCCUCUCCGAAUACCCGGACUGCUGAGGGGAAGGGCCGGGGGGGCCCCGGCGGUUGCCAUGGUGACGCAGGGUCGGCGGCUCCGCGCCGUAGAGACAAAGCCGCCCGCCCGCCAGCCCGCUAGCUCCUCGCGCGAGCUCCUCCUCCACGGGAACCUCCCUCCCCUCCCAGGCGCCGCCGCAGCCGGAGCGGCUCCCGGGCCCUGGGCCGCCGGCGGCCAGUUUUCCUCUGCCUUUUUGGCAUCCCAUUCAUUCUGAUUACACCAGUGGAUCUGUUACCAGAAAGGGGUCCCAAACCAGACCUCAAGAGAGGGUUCUUGGAUCUUGUGCAAUAAAGAAUUCGAGGUGAGUCCACAGAGUAAAGUGAAAACAAGUACAUUAAGGAAGUAAGGGAAUAAAAGGGUGGCUAUUCCAUAGAGAGACUAGGGCAUUCCCAAAAGCAAGAGGAGAAACACGUCUGCCUUAGGUAUAAUGCUUAUUUAUAUAUAACAAAGGAAAAAGUCAUGGGGAGAUGUGCUUUUACUACAAGGGUUUGUGACAAGGGAUUGUUAAUCUUUGUGUAACUACUUUGGAAAGAAUCUGUAUUAUCUUUAAAGCAAAACAUUAUUAUUAUUAUUAUUAUUAUUAUUAUUUUGAGAUAGAGUCCUGCUCUGUUGCCCAGGCUAGAGUGCAGUGGCACAAUCUCAGCUCACUGCAACCUCUGCCUCCUGGGUUGAAGCAAUUCUCCUGCCUCAGCCUCCUGAGCAGCUGGAACUACAGGCAUGUGCAUUAUGCCUGGGUAAUUUUUGUAUUUUUAGUAGAAAUGGGGUUUUACCAUGUUGGCCAGGCCGGUCUCAAACUCCUGACCUCAGGUGAUCCACCCGCCUUGGCCUCCCAAAGUGUUGGGAUUACAGGCAUGAGCCACCGUACCUGACUGCAAAACUUAUUCUUAAACUACGAAUGCUUUUGUUCGUAAGAUAUCAGGACAUCAGGACAUUUCCUGGGUCUGUUAUUUCCUGGGUUUGUUAAGUCCUGGGUCUAUUCAGUAAACGUUAUUAACUUCUUCCCUUAACUGUAAAUAUCCUAUGACUAAAAAUGUCUAGCCUCCUGGGAAUCCAGCACAGUAGGUCUCAGCCUCAUUUUACCCAGCCCUAAUUCAAGAUGGAGUCACUCUGGUUUGAAUGCCUCUGACACAUUUCCCCCCUCCCAUUUAUAAGGGGACCCUUAAUCCUGAAGGGUGCAGAGGGAUAGAAAUUUAUCUUCUGUAGCUUCUUCAGGCUGAACAGGGGCAAUGAUAUUCCUGCCUAACAAUAUUUAGGGUCUCUUGUAUUUAGAGUUGGGAGGAGUUUAGUCAUAAAGUGUUAGUAUGGUGAAGGUCAUUCAAAACUCUGAGUCCUGAUGAAAGAUGAUACCUGGAAGAUUAGUAAGUAUUUAAGAAAACAUUGAGUAAGCUUAUCCUGAAUUAUAUACAAAGAGUACAACAGCAAUAUAUUCUACAACUGUAAAGUGAAAUCAGUAAAAUUGUCUCAAAUCAACUAAAUAAGACAGCUUUCUAUGAACUGGGCAAUUGUGGGAACCAAGCUGAUAUGGGGUCGCUAGCUGAUUUCAUUAUGUGUCCAGAAUUAGAAUAGUGAUUCAGAUUUUUAUGUUAAUCAUGCCUCAUGUUUCUUUUGAGCAGCAGCCAGAGCUCACUGGUUGGUUCACAGGAAUAAGCAGGGUCAGUCUAAAUUGCAGAAAAAACUCAAAAACAAUGGAUGAGACUAGAGUCUAGUAACAGGUGUACCAUAGUUUGUGAAACAUAAUUUUUCUCUCUCCAGUCCCUGUUUUUAUUUAAACAAACCAUGGUAGGACUGAUUUGUUGGCAAAAUAAAUUUUAGUCUUAUUGUAUGUGGACUGAUUUGUUGGCAAAAUAAAUUUUAGUCUUAUUGUAUGUGGCCUGGUUAUUUGUAUAAAGUGAAGCAAGAAUAAUUAUUUGCCAUAUAGGCUCUUUUGGCUUUGAUGGAACUGUGUUCUAUAAUCUAAUCUUAGAUUAGACUUUUUAAAGCCUUGAGACCAGUCAUGAUUUAUGUGUGUCUGCAAAUAUGAGUUGGAUAAGUUUCUCUCCUCUGGAUGUCCCAAGAUAUUUGGGGCUCGUGGGCCUGUCAGAAAGUGACAUUCUUUACUUACCACAGGUCAGGAGCCCUGUACAAGGCUCAAGAUAUGAGGUCAGUUUUCUUAGGGGCUUUAAUUGUCUCUAUAAAUGAAUUUUGAUUCCUUAAACCAGUUUGUUUACAUUUGAAAGCAUGUCAGUCAUUCCAGUCAAAGCCUUGGUAAAAUAACCAGUGUCUCCAAUUGUGUCUUGUCACAAAGGAAAAAUUCUUACUGGACUUAUGUAAGUAGCUAUAUCACCAUAAGUUAAAAAUACUCACAAAUAGUUUCCAAAUUUGGGAGAAAUCAGGUAGAGAGAAAGAAAUGUGCUCUAAAUUUUGUUUACAGUAGUAUAUUAUACUCAAUUGUUGAAAGCUGUAAAUAGCUCAAAAUAAGUUUUCUUGACUCUGAAAAACAAAACAAAGGCAAAAAGUCAUGAAUAGAUUAUUUUGGUCUUCUAUUAGUUGUCUGUGCAAUUCCUGUUUUUCUCAAUAUUUAUGAAUACGUUAGUUUUCCAAGAGUCUUGGAAGUUUUUCUUCGUUUUAAUGGCAUACACUUCAAAGCUGUGAAAGUCCUGCUUUAUAAGAGUACUUGUCAGAGUCCUAUAACUGAUUAUAAACUGCCUUUUGAAGAGAAUCAAAACGAGACAAUUGCUUGUGGAUGACAAAAAGUCUUAGGGCAGCUAUAGUCAGAGACACAAUUGACAAGGAAAUUUGGCCCCUUGUGGCACACAAUAAUUUAAGAUAACAAUUAUAACUAUUAAUGAUAACAUAUACUAAGUUAUACCAGAAUUAUAGUAGUUUUGCAUAAUUUUGGAACACAUACCAAUAACACAUAUAAAUAACCCAAAAAAUGUCAGAUGCCAUUUUGUAUUUGACAAUACUUCCUAUAUGAUUUUAGUAUGUCAAAUGAGUCAAAUAUGCCAUUAUUGGACUUCAGGGGACCUAAUAUCUAAAAGGAUUAUCAAGUCAGGAAAGACUUAUUAAGUCUUUAGGUCCUAAUUAAGUCCUAGUUUGAUUUGGGAAUGUUUGUUAAAUAGCAAAGGUGUAAAACACUUUAUGUUAUAAAAUAGAAUCUCAG
rnacentral:lncRNA from 1 species